rnacentral:tRNA from 1 species
GCCUGUAUGAUGAAAUUGGUAGACAUGCAAGGCUUAAAACCUUGUCCCUUACGGGGUCCUGGUUCGAGUCCAGGUACAGGUA